GUAGCUCAGUGGUAGAGUUACUUGCCUAGCAUGCAUGAGACCCUGGGUUUGAUCCCCAGC
rnacentral:tRNA from 1 species